GAUGAACGCUGGCGGCGUGCCUAAUACAUGCAAGUCGAGCGACGAGGGGGCGGGUGAGUGACACGUGGGUAAACUCCUAUAAGGCUGGGAUAACUUCGGGGAACCGGAACCAAUACGGAUACUUAUCCCUGAAUCGGCGCGGCAGUAGCUAGUUGAUAAGGUAACGGCUUACAAAGUCAACGAUGCAUAGCCGACCUGAGAGGGUGAUCGGCCACACUGGAACUGAGACACGGUCCAGACUCCUACGGGAGGCAGCAGUAGGGAAUCUUCCGCAAUGGACGCAAGCCUGACCGAGCAACGCCGCGUGAGUGAAGAAGGUUUUCGGAUCGUAAAAUUCUUUUGUCAGAGAAGCGUUAUCCACACAGAAAGCAACGGCUAACUCCGUGCCAGCAGCCGCGGUAAUAC
rnacentral:rRNA from 1 species